GAUGAACGCUGGCGGCGUGCCUAAUACAUGCAAGUCGAGCGAAUGGAUUGAGAGCUUGCUCUUAUGAAGUUAGCGGCGGACGGGUGAGUAACACGUGGGUAACCUGCCCAUAAGACUGGGAUAACUCCGGGAAACCGGGGCUAAUACCGGAUAACAUUUUGAACCGCAUGGUUCGAAAUUGAAAGGCGGCUUCGGCUGUCACUUAUGGAUGGACCCGCGUCGCAUUAGCUAGUUGGUGAGGUAACGGCUCACCAAGGCAACGAUGCGUAGCCGCCCUGAGGGGGUAUUCGGCCACCCUGGGACUGCACCACGGCCCAGACUCCUACGGGAGGCAGCAGUAGGCAAUCUUCCGCAAUGGACGAAAGUCUGGCGGAGCAACGCCGCGUGAGUGAUGAAGGCUUUCGGGUCGUAAAACUCUGUUGUUAGGGAAGAACAAGUGCUAGUUGAAUAAGCUGGCACCUUGACGGUACCUAACCAGAAAGCCACGGCUAACUACGUGCCAGCAGCCGCCGUAA
rnacentral:rRNA from 1 species